GGAAAAUCAAAUUCCAUUUUUCAUAAUUGACAGACUCCUUAGGUUAAUGUGCAUGACUGAUAGUCCUGAUGAGCCCAAAAUCGGCAGGCUAUGGCUUUAGCUCUCAACUUCUUCAAUCCUGAAUGGCUGGCAGGUAAACCAGUGUCCAGAGCAGAGUUCAAUGGAUUGAUAUUUUCACUCCAGCAAGGAGAGUGCCUUCAUCCCCUUGAUGUUUUCAGGCAAAGUCUACUCCAUGCAGGGCCCCAACUGGAUACCAAUUACAGACAUGGGUUUCCAAGGAGGGUAUGUAAUAAGCUAAUCCCUGGGUUUUUGAAAGGGUGGUUGCGUGAUACGCUUUUCCCUGGGUAUCUGAAGCGACGUUUACAUGUCAAUUAUUGAAGUUUUGAUGAUUCAUUCAGAGAGAAAUGUAGAGAGAAAUAGGAAGGAAAGAAGAUUUUAUUUCAGAAUGAAUGAAUGAGCUGCUUAGUACAAGAUAACACUUUAUAUAGUGUCUUAACCAAUACAAGAGGGUUUAAUAACCGCUUUCUAACUAACUAAUAGCUAACAUUCUUUAAACAAACUUUGUUGACUCCUGGGGCUGCUGGACAUAUCAGCAUGGUGAUGAUUGAUAGAAUGGUGAUCAUGAUGAUCAUGAUCACCAACACCGAUAGAGCUCCAAACAGAAUUUCAAGCCAUGGACAAAUCAUAAACAGGGUCACGCAGCUCAGAGAGGGAGGAGUAAAAUUCAUAAAGCGAAACACCAACUGUUUCUGGGACAUCAGGUUCAAAAAUGGCAUACUUGAAAUUCCUACAAUUUGGAUUCAAGAUAGUACAAUGACCAUCCUCCUGAACUGUAUCUGCCUAUGAGCACUGCCAUCUAAAGAUAAAUGAUGCUAGAAUUGCAUCAUAUGAAGUCUUUAUGGAAUGCUUGAUAAAAUCCCCAGAAGAUGUGGACCACCUUCAUCAAUGUGGAAUCAUUCAGCAUCUCCUUGGACAUGAUGGCGAAGUUGUUGACAUGUUCAAGAGCAUAUCUAAAGAGAUAGUAGUGGAUGCACAAAGUGGUUACUAUUCAAACCUAUCUGAGCAAGUGAAUGCAUACUGCAACCAGAGAAGAAAUAGAUGGCGUGCAAGCCUGCUUCACAACUAUUUUAAUAAUCCUAGGGCUAUCAUCUCACUGAUAGCUGCUUUCAUACUAUUAAUACUUUCCCAUACAGAGUUUUUAUACAGUUCUUCUUACUACAGGCCAAAUUCUUAAUCUAAUAAACCAAAAUCCUGAUUUUUA